rnacentral:rRNA from 2 species
GCAAGUCGAGCGGACAGAAGGGAGCUUGCUCCCGGAUGUUAGCGGCGGACGGGUGAGUAACACGUGGGUAACCUGCCUGUAAGACUGGGAUAACUCCGGGAAACCGGAGCUAAUACCGGAUAGUUCCUUGAACCGCAUGGUUCAAGGAUGAAAGACGGUUUCGGCUGUCACUUACAGAUGGACCCGCGGCGCAUUAGCUAGUUGGUGAGGUAACGGCUCACCAAGGCGACGAUGCGUAGCCGACCUGAGAGGGUGAUCGGCCACACUGGGACUGAGACACGGCCCAGACUCCUACGGGAGGCAGCAGUAGGGAAUCUUCCGCAAUGGACGAAAGUCUGACGGAGCAACGCCGCGUGAGUGAUGAAGGUUUUCGGAUCGUAAAGCUCUGUUGUUAGGGAAGAACAAGUGCAAGAGUAACUGCUUGCACCUUGACGGUACCUAACCAGAAAGCCACGGCUAACUACGUGCCAGCAGCCGCGGUAAUACGUAGGUGGCAAGCGUUGUCCGGAAUUAUUGGGCGUAAAGGGCUCGCAGGCGGUUUCUUAAGUCUGAUGUGAAAGCCCCCGGCUCAACCGGGGAGGGUCAUUGGAAACUGGGAAACUUGAGUGCAGAAGAGGAGAGUGGAAUUCCACGUGUAGCGGUGAAAUGCGUAGAGAUGUGGAGGAACACCAGUGGCGAAGGCGACUCUCUGGUCUGUAACUGACGCUGAGGAGCGAAAGCGUGGGGA